GCAUCAUGUAAAUAAAUUUGAUCAUGAUAGUGUUUAUACAUCUUCCAUCAUUUUUUUUUGGCUGCAUUUUCUAGCUUAUAAAGCACAGAACUCCAGAUACUGGCAAAAUCUCUUCUUGCAAAUUCCCUUCCUGUGAAAAGCUGGUGCAGAAUAGUUUGGUUGUAGCAGAGGGAGAGGCCAGAGGUGUCCUGCACUUCCCAGAGCCAAAGAAGCUGAGUCUUGCAGCCCACACAUCGUUAGCUUUUGAAAUCACAUUUUCACAUCUCCACGAGGGAUACUUUAUCAGGAUAAGAACCCAGCAAAGCAUUUCUUUUUGUGGACAUAGCAAUUUUGGUGCAGAUGUGAUGAAAUUAGCUGCUCUCUUGAAAACACAGUGAGUUGGUAAAGCUGCAGUUUUGCAACUAUGACUGCAUCCUCUCUAAGGACAUUUGGCGAUGUGGCUGUGGUGUUCUGAGGUUUUAUUUCUUCACCUUCCACAUUGGAAAAGGUCUAACAACUCUCAUGGCACCUCCAGUAAUGUUUCAUUGCCAUGCAAAAGGAGGAAAACACUUUGUCAGCAGCCUACUUCAGGCAGAGAAAUUUAUAUCUGUGAGAAGCAUAUGUACAGAACAGCAAUUACUCAGAUCAUCAAUAUUUAUACAGCAG
rnacentral:lncRNA from 1 species